GCGGCAUGCUUUAUACAUGCAAGUCGAACGCGAAAGUGUCUUCGGACAUUAGUAGAGUGGCAAACGGGUGAGUAACGCGUGGGAAUGUACCUUAUAGUACGGAAUAGCCUCGGGAAACUGGGAUUAAUACCGUAUACGCCCUGAGGGGGAAAGAUUUAUCGCUAUAAGAUUAGCCCGCGUCAGAUUAGCUAGUUGGUGGGGUAAUGGCCUACCAAGGCAACGAUCUGUAGCUGGUCUGAGAGGAUGAUCAGCCACAUUGGGACUGGGAUACGGCCCAAACUCCUACGGGAGGCAGCAGUAGGGAAUAUUGGACAAUGGACGAAAGUCUGAUCCAGCAAUGCCGCGUGAGUGAUGAAGGCCUUAGGGUUGUAAAGCUCUUUUAGUGGGGAAGAUAAUGACGGUACCCACAGAAAAAGCACCGGCUAACUUCGUGCCAGCCGCCGCCGUAA
rnacentral:rRNA from 1 species